CCUCUCUGACGCCCGUCUGUCUCGCCUCGCUGGCCACGGGCGGCGGGCCAGAUGUACACCACAUCCCGCAUCUCGUCUGGUACCACCGCGGCGAGCGGAGGGUGGUCGAAUACGGCUCCUCCUUCGGCGCGAUGAGGGCGGUCGGCACCAGGCGAGCAAUGAAGGACGCGAUCGUCCAGAUGAACGCGGAGCACCUCUCGCCGGGCGCGGUCACGGUGUACGAGGCGCUCGAGGAUCAGGGGUUCGUCUCCGCUGCCGUAAACGUCCCCUGCUACCGCGGGCGAACCAGGCACGUCGCCACCGUC
rnacentral:misc_RNA from 1 species